CAAGGUCAGGAGCGGAUUGCCGGAUCACUCUAUUAUUCCGCUGCGCUGCAGCCAUCGGGCUAACGCCUUUUUCAUGAUAUUUUGAACAUCCGCACGGAAAAAACCGAGGAGUGCGCGAGCGAUACAAAUGGAUCGUGCAGUGGAGAAAUCUGUCUUCGUCACCGCCGCCGGGGGCCGCCGGGAUUAAUGCGGCUGAAGGCUCCUCUGGGCUCCGCCAGGGAGACGGGCGGAAAAGCAAGAGAAAUUGCCUUGCCCCCGGGCGGUCUCGUCAGGAAUAAAUAGAAGCUGACACAGUCAUUUGCUUAAAUCUUCUCCGCGUUUUCACCGCAUUUCCCUCCUGAGGAUUCUCUAGAAACAGCCCCAGUCUGAAAUGUCCCUGAGGGCGACCCAGACCACCACAGGAGGCAUCAAACCAUUACCGGCCAGGAAUCACGUUUACUCCGAGGAGAGAUACGAGAGCUGGGAGACUGAGACAGAGAGACAGUAUACCACCAGCUGUCAGCUAAUUUGCAGAACCCAGAUGAUUGACAGGACAGCAGCCCAGUGGACUGAUGAGGUUUUCCCCUGGCUCAAUUACCUGCUUCUACAGGUUCUCUCUGAUAACUGGAGCACCCUGCCCCCUUCUCCUCUUCAGUGACCCUCCAGAACCCAAUCACUGAAGUUUCCAUAGUGGUAAAAAUACAUUACACAGAGAGUAAUAAUAACAGAUAAUUUCCACCUCCAUGAUGAAAAGGGACUACCUAAAGAGACAGCUAGUGAAUGUAGUUUCAGAUAAAAUGACCUAAGAGGAAUCAGUGAGUAGGCCCUUCCAAUAGCUGUAGAGACAAUUGAACAAUAAACAUUUAAUAAGUGCCUAAUAUGUGCUAGGCACUUUGAUAAGCUGUGGGGAUUUAAAAAAAAAGAG